UACUGUGUCAAGGUGCAACCCAUUCACAUGUUAAUGUUGCCGUUUAGACAUCAUUGCACAACAAAACGCUGGUUAUUAUCUAUUUGAACAGCGACAAGCAAUCCAAGACCGACCGAUCGAUCUGCUGCUCAUCAGAAGCACGGCUUACAUGUUCCUCGCGCACCCGGCAGCAUGCGUGAGCUCCCUGAAAUUUACAAGUAUAUCUACUAAGAGGAAUAUAUGCAUGCCAAGGCACAUGCAGGAUGAGUACCAUUGGACUCGGGAGGAACACGGAAGGAAGCAGAGGUACGUAUUGAAAGCCCGUGCGCCUCAGGCGACUGCGCAUCUGGCUUUGUUUGCAGUUUACCAGCUGCUGCAAAUAUUCCUUGUGUUUACUGGAUCUCUUGGCAAUGGGUGCCUUGAGAUGGGGAGGAUUCAUAUAUAGACGAGGGAGACAAAAAAUUGAAGCGUGAAGCUAAAUCGCCAGGGUAGGGGGCAUCACGGGAGAAAUAGCAAGAAGGCUGUGCCGUCCUACAAUGCGAAUGCAGAUUUUGGGUCUACAUCGAUAACCAGGCUAACUAGACGAUUUAUUGACGUUCGUUUGGUGAUGUGAAGCUCACGUGUGAUGCAUUGUUUUCACAAGAUGCAUAUCUGAUGUGACAUUAUUUGUAAUUAUAUAUUUUGUACUUUGCACCUCAACUUCUCUUUCCGAGUGAAUUCCAUUUUUGACCCUCAAGUUUUAAUUUUUUUGACAGUUUUGACCCCAUCUAGUGAGAUUUUCAUUUUUUGACUCCAUUUAAUAAAAGUUUUGCCGCUUUUGACCCCAUUACGUCGGAUAUAUAAGUGCGCUUAAGAUCAAAUCUGAAAGUAGAGUCCGUUUCUGGUU